AUUGAACGCUAGCGGGAUGCUUUACACAUGCAAGUCGAACGAGUGGCGGACGGGUGAGCAAUAUAUCGGAACGUGCCCAGUAGAGGGGGAUAAGUACUCGAACGAGUGGCUAAUACCGCAUAAUAUUGGAGCGGCCGAUAUGGGAUUAGCGAGUUGGUGGGGUAAAGGCUCACAACGGCGACGCUCCGUAGCGGGUUUGAGAGGAUGAUCAGCCACACUGGGACUGAGACACGGCCCAGACUCCUACGGGAGGCAGCAGUGGGGAAUUUUGGACAAUGGGGGAAACCCUGAUCCAGCCAUCCCGCGUGUAUGAGAAGGCCUUCGGGUUGUAAAGUACUGUUGUCAGAGAAGCGGUAUCUGCAGAAUAAGCACCGGCUAACUACGUGCCAGCAGCCGCGGUAAUUC
rnacentral:rRNA from 1 species